AGGUUGAUCCUGGCUCAGGAUGAACGCUGGCGGUAUGCUUAACACAUGCAAGUCGAACGGAGUAGAAAUACUCAGUGGCGGACGGGUGAGUAACGCGUGAGAAUCUAGCUUUUGGUCUGGGACAACAGAGGGAAACCGCUGCUAAUACCGGAUGUGCCGAGAGGUGAAAGGCUUGCUGCCAAAAGAAGAGCUCGCGUCCGAUUAGCUAGUUGGUGGGGUAAAAGCCUACCAAGGCGACGAUCGGUAGCCGGUCUGAGAGGACGAUCGGCCACACUGGGACUGAGACACGGCCCAGACUCCUACGGGAGGCAGCAGUGGGGAAUUUUCCGCAAUGGGCGAAAGCCUGACGGAGCAAUACCGCGUGAGGGAGGAAGGCCCUUGGGUUGUAAACCUCUUUUCUCAGGGAAGAAUAAAUGACGGUACCUGAGGAAUCAGCAUCGGCUAACUCCGUGCCAGCAGCCGCGGUAAUACGGAGGAUGCAAGCGUUAUCCGGAAUUAUUGGGCGUAAAGCGUCCGUAGGUGGCAGUGCAAGUCUGCGGUCAAAGACUGGAGCUUAACUUCAGAAAGGCAGUGGAAACUGCACAGCUAGAGAAAGGUAGGGGCAGAGGGAAUUCUCGGUGUAGCGGUGAAAUGCGUAGAGAUCGGGAAGAACACCAGUGGCGAAAAGCGCUCUGCUGGACCAAUUCUGACACUGUGGGACGAAAGCUAGGGGAGCGAAUGGGAUUAGAUACCCCAGUAGUCCUAGGCCGUAAAC
rnacentral:rRNA from 1 species